rnacentral:rRNA from 1 species
CACUCGUGUCGUGAGAUGUUGGGUUAAGUCCCGCAACGAGCGCAACCCCUGUUCCAUGUUGCCAGCGCGUGAUGGCGGGGACUCAUGGGAGACUGCCGGGGUCAACUCGGAGGAAGGUGGGGAUGACGUCAAGUCAUCAUGCCCCUUAUGUCCAGGGCUUCACACAUGCUACAAUGGCUCAUACAGAGGGCUGCGAGACCGUGAGGUGGAGCGAAUCCCUUAAAGUGAGUCUCAGUUCGGAUCGGGGUCUGCAACUCGACCCCGUGAAGUCGGAGUCGCUAGUAAUCGCGGAUCAGCAAUGCCGCGGUGAAUACGUUCCCGGGCCUUGUACAC